rnacentral:rRNA from 1 species
UGAGUAACACGUGGGCAACCUGCCUGUAAGUUGGGGAUAACUCCGGGAAACCGGGGCUAAUACCGAAUGAUAAGAUGUGGCGCAUGCCACGCCUUUGAAAGAUGGUUUCGGCUAUCGCUUACAGAUGGGCCCGCGGUGCAUUAGCUAGUUGGUAGGGUAAUGGCCUACCAAGGCAACGAUGCAUAGCCGACCUGAGAGGGUGAUCGGCCACACUGGGACUGAGACACGGCCCAGACUCCUACGGGAGGCAGCAGUAGGGAAUCUUCCGCAAUGGACGAAAGUCUGACGGAGCAACGCCGCGUGUAUGAAGAAGGUUUUCGGAUCGUAAAGUACUGUUGUUAGAGAAGAACAAGGAUAAGAGUAACUGCUUGUCCCUUGACGGUAUCUAACCAGAAAGCCACGGCUAACUACGUGCCAGCAGCCGCGGUAAUACGUAGGUGGCAAGCGUUGUCCGGAUUUAUUGGGCGUAAAGCGCGCGCAGGCGGUCUUUUAAGUCUGAUGUGAAAGCCCCCGGCUUAACCGGGGAGGGUCAUUGGAAACUGGAAGACUGGAGUGCAGAAGAGGAGAGUGGAAUUC